GGAGGGAUAGCUCAAUGGUAGAGUAUGUGCUUAGCAUGCACGAGGUCAUGGGUUCAAUCCCUAAACCUCCA
rnacentral:tRNA from 1 species